GGAUGUAGCCAAGUGGUAAGGCAACGGACUUUGACUCCGUCAUUCCGCUGGUUCGAGUCCAGCCAUCC
rnacentral:tRNA from 1 species